CAUGGAAGAGGAAAUUGAAGAAGAAGUUGACAAGGUCCUGACUGCAAUUGCUGGUGAAACUACUGCACAAUUACCUGAAGCAGUCCGAAAGGAGAAGUUAAAGCAACCCGCCCAGGCAGUGGAGGAUGCAGAGGAUGACGAAGAAGAUCUAGAAGAACUAAGGGCACGUCUUGCUAAAGUUAGAUCCUAAGUGAUUUUUAAAAUUGACUCGCGCUGCCUCUAAGGCUUCGAUGUAAAAUAUGUUGUGUGUGAAACAAAGACCUCUUCUAUGGUCUGACGAGUUGCAUCUUCUAUCUGGAAGAGAGGAUAUUGAAGUACCUUCUAUAUCUUAGAAUCAAUACUCAUGAUUUCUUGUAUUGAUUAUCAAUGUGAGUUGUGAUCUUUUUCUCUUUGAGCAUGCUUUUCAUUGUAUGGUAACUGAAAAUCUAUGCUAAC
rnacentral:misc_RNA from 1 species